CAGUCGCCGCGGUAAUACGAAGGGGGCUAGCGUUGCUCGGAAUGACUGGGCGUAAAGGGCGCGUAGGCGGCGGCCAAAGUCAGGCGUGAAAUUCCUGGGCUCAACCUGGGGGCUGCGCUUGAUACUUGGUUGCUUGAGUGGGGAAGAGGGUCGUGGAAUUCCCAGUGUAGAGGUGAAAUUCGUAGAUAUUGGGAAGAACACCGGUGGCGAAGGCGGCGACCUGGUCCUUGACUGACGCUGAGGCGCGAAAGCGUGGGGAGCAAACAGGAUUAGAUACCCCCGUAGUCCCUGUCUCUUAUAC
rnacentral:rRNA from 1 species